UAGGGAAUAUUGGACAAUGGGGGCAACCCUGAUCCAGCCAUGCCGCGUGAGUGAAGAAGGCCCUCGGGUUGUAAAGCUCUUUUGUCCGGAAAGAAAAGCAUUCGGUGAAUACCCGGAUGUUCUGACGGUACCGGAAGAAUAAGCACCGGCUAACUUCGUGCCAGCAGCCGCGGUAAUACGAAGGGUGCAAGCGUUACUCGGAAUUACUGGGCGUAAAGCGUGCGUAGGUGGUUGUUUAAGUCUGAUGUGAAAGCCCUGGGCUCAACCUGGGAAUGGCAUUGGAAACUGGGCAGCUAGAGUGCGGCAGAGGGUAGUGGAAUUCCCGGUGUAGCAGUGAAAUGCGUAGAGAUCGGGAGGAACAUCUGUGGCGAAGGCGACUGCCUGGACCAGCACUGACACUGAGGCACGAAAGCGUGGGGAGCAAACA
rnacentral:rRNA from 1 species